rnacentral:misc_RNA from 1 species
GAUGAAGAACGUAGCGAAAUGCGAUACGUAAUGUGAAUUGCAAAUUCAGUGAAUCAUCGAGUCUUUGAACGCACAUUGCGCCCCCUGGUAUUCCGGGGGGCAUGCCUGUCCGAGCGUCAUUGCUGCCCUCAAGCACGGCUUGUGUGUUGGGCCCCGUCCUCCGAUCCCGGGGGACGGGCCCGAAAGGCAGCGGCGGCACCGCGUCCGGUCCUCGAGCGUAUGGGGCUUUGUCACCCGCUCUGUAGGCCCGGCCGGCGCUUGCCGAUCAACCCAAAUUUUUGUCCAGGUUGACCUCGGAUCAGGUAGGGAUACCCGCUGAACUUAAGCAUAUCAAAAGCGGAGA